rnacentral:lncRNA from 1 species
AGUAACAAGGAGGCAUCCUCCUCACAACAAAGAAAGGUGGGAGGAAGGGAGGGACAGGGAGAGAGAGAGCUAGAGAGACAGAGAGAAAACAGAUGGAUCUUUUCCCCAAUCAGUAAGAAACUUUCAAAAUAUUUUAAUACCUUCUUUUAAAUAUGAUUCAAACUAUGUUUUUUAAAACCAUGAAUCACACAAAGAAAUGAAUCUAAUUUGACCCACACACAGACUGAAAUCAGCUUCACAAAGCGGUUGUUACUCUUACUAAAUGUGACGCAUUCAGGUAUUUUUUGUUCUAUUUCAUUACAUUAAACAAAAAAUGCUGGUCACUGCCUACCAAGAGGUUCACACAGCUCACUGACUAACUCAGGGGUACUUGUCACUCCCGGACACUUGGUCCCCAGCCCACCCGGCUCUCCUCUAUUGGAAGCAAGCUGCCUGAGGCUCUUUUAAGUGCUCUCCUUUCUCCUCCAGGAAUUGGAAUCUGCCCAGCUGAGCCCCAGACGCUGGAGGGGUCCCGGGGGUCAGUCAGCCCUGCGCCACCCUCCGGUUCCUCUUCUGGCCAUACAAGGAAGUCCAGUGCGGGGAUGACUAAGCAGCUGACCUGGGGGAGAGCAGCCCUGGAGCGGAGGCAGGACUGCCUCUCCUGCCAGCCAUCAGCCCCUGUGGGUUUGUCCUGUGGUGAAAAGUCCCAGGCCUCCCACCAGGGAGCACCUGACCUCUCUGCUCCCUGAGAGGAGUGAAGUGAGCCUCAAUGUCUGCCGGUAGAGGCACAGCCUUGCACUGACAUCGGGCCCUAAGCUCUAGUUCCACACAGAGAUAGCGGGUCUGUCCUGGCCUCCCAUGGGCUCCCAGGGGCAGGGAGAUCUGGCCUGACCUUCCCAGCAACGCCUGCCUCAGUGGAGAAAACCCAGCUUCCCAGCAUCAGGACACACUCUCUCUCACACCCUCCAUAGUUCCCACUGACCUCACCGCAAAGUCCACAGUAGAAACUCAGAGUCCUACUGAGGAGACACCUGCCCAGCUGUCAGCCUGCUUCCUCCACCUGCUCCCCCCACCUGCUCUAUCUCUUGCUGUCUACACUCGUUCCCCCCACCUGCUUGCUCACCUGCUGUCUACACCUGUUCCCCCACCUGCUGUCUCACCAGCUUCCUCCACCUGCUCCCCCAACCUGCUUUCUCAUCUGCUUCCUCCACCUGCUCCCCCAACCUGCUCUCUCACCUACUGUCUACACCUGUUCUUUGCUCUGGCUGCCUCCACCCAUCCAGCUCCCCCACACCCUUCUUGGACACUGCCCGGCACUUCCCAGCUCCCUCACACAAUGCUGCCCGCCCCCCAACUCACGUCCUGCUUUCUCGAUGGUCUUCCCAGAGGAGGUCCCACCUUCCCAGCCCCUACCUGCUCCUCAGGUCACCAUUUCCUGGAACCACCUUCCAUCCCCCAGAACUCAGCUGGGCCCUGCAGACAUGUACAUGUUACCAGGUGACGUGGCCACUCCUCCUGCAAAGCUUUCCCAGGUGUCUCUGUUUUUCUUGUUCUUCAGAAUGAUAAAAGUUCCCAGAUCCCAGGGACUUUUAGACUGCUCCCACCACAGAGCUGGCCAGCGCAGAGAAAUGCUAGGGGUAAGUCCAUGACGCGGGGCCUGUCUUCCGGGCUGGGAGCCUGGAGUCACUGAAUCAGGAAGCCAGCCCAGUGCCCAGGGCUUCACUUUCCUGCUGCGUGUUCAGUUUUGAAAGAGAGGAAUACUAAUGAAGUUUGCUUAACCUCCUAAGUGAGUGUGUGUGUGCAUGUGAAUAUAUGCACGUACACACACACACACACACACAUACUCACACACACACACGCACACACACCAGCCCCUGUAAACAAGGUUGCAGGUUCCAGAGAGGAUGGCUCCCUCAUCCUACAGAGAAUUAAGACAAAUCCUCAUGAAGCAAGGAGCAGAAGUCAGGGGGAAAUCAUUAACUCUGAAUGAGAAUCUCAGGAAUUCAUAAACAUGAUCUGAAAUUAGCCACCUCCAAGGAAGGGUUCCAGAAGCCUAUUUUGUAGGAAGAAAUUUGAGGAUCCACUGCCAAUAAAAUUAGAAUCAUUCCUGGAAUGUUGCCA